rnacentral:lncRNA from 1 species
UGAAACUCAAUGAAGGUAGAUUUUUAGAAAAAAUGAGAGGUAAGAGAGUCAAGUGGGAGUGGGGUGGUGACACGAUCUUUGGAUCAGUUGAGCUGAACAGCACAAGACGUAAAACGUACCUGGAAGGAUGAGGUGAGAGGACAGGUGAGGCCAAUGGAGACAGAGCAAGGAUCCUGCAAAGGGAAGCACUAGGGGAUGAGGAGCCCUGAGAAGGCAGGAGAGGUGGGUGCUGGGUCAGCACUGUCUGGGGACAGCUGCUCACAAGUGGGUUGAGGGAGGUCACUCUUCCUGGGAGUCUGGGAAGGCAGGAGGCCCUGGGUCACUCUUGGGCACCCCUGUACCUAGAGCCUGGCCACAGGCCCAGGUUGAGCCCUGGAUUGACUGACCAACUUAGCCAGGGUCCCUGGGAGAUGGCCGUGCCCAGUCCUGCUGAUUCUGAGCUCCUCUUCCCUUCCUCAUUUCCCUCCAGUAUGACAAGGCAUUCAAUGUGGGCUGCCCGAGAAAUUGUUACAUCACACUCUGUGCACCCUUGGGACCUAAGUACAUGUCCGAGGCGGUCUGCCUUCAGGUGGACCAGGGGACCAACUGGGGGCCAAAAGAACACCUUAAAGACCUCCUUUGGCCCAGGUGCACCACUCAGGCCCCCCCAAGGAGUGGCAAGGCUGCACCUGUACAGAAGGUAAGGAGUAUCGGGUGUGCUUUGAACCUUGGGGGUCUGUGGUUGCACAUGUGUUGGGAGAAGCCCCCAUGUGGGGCAGGCCCUGAAGCUGAAGCACUUGGAGCAUAAGGAGUGGGAUUAUGGACCGGGAGGGUGCAGGGUCCAGGUCACAGGGCUUCAGAGCACACCCAGGUGUCCCUGGAUAGAGAAAGAGAAAAGACUGAAACAC